rnacentral:rRNA from 1 species
GCGGCAGGCCUAACACAUGCAAGUCGAGGGGUAACAGGGAGUGCUUGCACUCAGCUGACGACCGGCGCACGGGUGCGUAACGCGUAUGCAAUCUACCUCUUACUGAGGGAUAGCCCAUGGAAACGUGGAUUAAUACCUCAUAGUAUUAUAGACUGGCCUCAGUUUAUGAUUAAAGGUUACGGUAAGAGAUGAGCAUGCGUCCUAUUAGCUAGAUGGUAAGGUAACGGCUUACCAUGGCUACGAUAGGUAGGGGUCCUGAGAGGGAGAUCCCCCACACUGGUACUGAGACACGGACCAGACUCCUACGGGAGGCAGCAGUGAGGAAUAUUGGACAAUGGGCGAGAGCCUGAUCCAGCCAUGCCGCGUGCAGGAAGACGGCCCUAUGGGUUGUAAACUGCUUUUACAGAGGAAGAACCCUCCUUACGUGUAAGGAGCUGACGGUACUCUAUGAAUAAGGAUCGGCU